rnacentral:rRNA from 1 species
UGGGGAAUUUUGGACAAUGGGCGCAAGCCUGAUCCAGCCAUGCCGCGUGCAGGAUGAAGGCCUUCGGGUUGUAAACUGCUUUUGUACGGAACGAAAAGACUCCUUCUAAUAAAGGGGGUCCAUGACGGUACCGUAAGAAUAAGCACCGGCUAACUACGUGCCAGCAGCCGCGGUAAUACGUAGGGUGCGAGCGUUAAUCGGAAUUACUGGGCGUAAAGCGUGCGCAGGCGGUUAUAUAAGACAGAUGUGAAAUCCCCGGGCUCAACCUGGGAACUGCAUUUGUGACUGUAUAGCUAGAGUACGGCAGAGGGGGAUGGAAUUCCGCGUGUAGCAGUGAAAUGCGUAGAUAUGCGGAGGAACACCGAUGGCGAAGGCAAUCCCCUGGGCCUGUACUGACGCUCAUGCACGAAAGCGUGGGGAGCAAACAGGAUUAGAUACCCUGGUAGUCCACGCCCUAAACGAUGUCAACUGGUUGUUGGGAAUUCACUUUCUCAGUAACGAAGCUAACGCGUGAAGUUGACCGCCUGGGGAGUACGGCCGCAAGGUUG